rnacentral:rRNA from 1 species
AGGAUUCCCCUAGUAACUGCGAGUGAAGCGGGAUAAGCUCAAAUUUGAAAUCUGGCAGUCUUUUUUUUCUUCUUUGGCUGUCCGAGUUGUAAUCUAGAGAAGUGCUACCUGCACUGGACCAUGUAUAAGUCUCCUGGAAUGGAGCCUCACAGAGGGUGAGAAUCCCGUCUUUGACAUGGACCGCCAGUGUGUUGUGGUGUGCUCUCAAAGAGUCGAGUUGUUUGGGAAUGCAGCUCUAAAUGGGUGGUAAACUCCAUCUAAAGCUAAAUAUUGGCGAGAGACCGAUAGCGAACAAGUACCGUGAGGGAAAGAUGAAAAGGACUUUGGAAAGAGAGUUAAACAGUAUGUGAAAUUGUUGAAAGGGAAACGCUUGAAGUCAGUUAUGUUGGCUAGGGAUCAACCUAGCUAUUUUUGCUGGGUGAAUUUCCUAGUUUGACAGGCCAACAUCAGUCUUGACUGCUGGAAAAGAGCAGAGGGAAUGUGGCACCUUUGGGUGUGUUAUAGCCUUUUGUCAUAUGUGGCAGUUGGGACUGAGGGAUGCAGCGUGCCGCGAGGCUGGGUUUCGACCACGUUCACGCUUAGGAUGUUGGCUUUUAAUGGCUUCAAUCGACCCGUCUUGAAACACGGACCAAGGAGUCUAACAUGCCUGCGAGUGUUUGGGUGGAAAACCCUUGUGCACAAUGAAAGUGAAAGUUGAGAUCCCUGUCAUGGGGAGCAUCGACGCCCGGACUGGAGCUUUUAGCAAUGGAUCCGCGGUAGAGCAUGCAUGUUGGGACCCGAAAGAUGGUGAACUAUGCCUGAAUAGGGCAAAGCCAGAGGAAACUCUGGUGGAGGCUCGUAGCGAUUCUGACGUGCAAAUCGAUCGUCAAAUUUGGGUAUAGGGGCGAAAGACUAAUCGAACCAUNUAGUAGCUGGUUCCUGCCGAAGUUUCCCUCAGGAUAGCAGAAGCUCAUUAUCAGAUUUAUGUGGUAAAGCGAAUGAUUAGAGGCCUUGGGGUUGAAACAACCUUAACCUAUUCUCAAACUUUAAAUAUGUAAGAACGAGCUGUCACUUGAUUGGACUGCUCGGCGAUUGAGAGCUUCUAGUGGGCCAUUUUUGGUAAGCAGAACGGCGAUGCGGGAUGAACCGAUCGCAAGGUUAAGGUGCCAGAGUUCACGCUCAUCAGACACCACAAAAGGUGUUAGUUCAUCUAGACAGCAGGACGGUGGCCAUGGAAGUCGGAACCCGCUAAGGAGUGUGUAACAACUCACCUGCCGAAUGAACUAGCCCUGAAAAUGGAUGGCGCUUAAGCGUGACACCCAUACCUUGCUGUCAGUGUUGAAGUGAUGCACUGACAAGUA